rnacentral:rRNA from 1 species
UACAAGUACCNGUGAGGGAAAGUUGAAAAGUACUCUGAAGAGAGAGUUAAAAGAACGUGAAAACGAUCAAGUGGAAGCAAACAGGUCUAUUGGAAGAUAUGUAUUUUUAUAUAUAUCUGAUAAUAGAUAUGUAAAGUUAUAUAUAGAUUAACAUAUGAGGACCCAUUUAUGGGAAACCCUAUAUUAAUUAACAAUAAUCUUUAUAUAUACUAUUAUCAUUAAUGAUGGUUACCUGUUUGACCCGUCUUGAAACACGGACCAAGAAGUUUAUUGUAUACGCGAGUCAUUAAGUGUUAAACUUAUUGGCAUAAUGAAAGUGAAGGUAUAGAAAUAUACUUAUGUGGGAUAAUGUAUUUAUGAAUACGUUCGCACCACAGUCCUGUUAUAAUGGUUUACCAUAUAGCGGAGAUAUAGCGUAUGCAAUGAGACCCGAAAGAUGGUGAUCUAUGCUUGAGCAGGAUGAAGCCGGAGGAAACUCUGGUGAAAGUCCGUAACGGUUCUGACGUGCAAAUCGAUCGUCUGACUUGAGUAUAGGGGCGAAAGACUAAUCGAACCAUCUAGUAGCUGGUUCCUUCCGA